rnacentral:tRNA from 1 species
AAACUUUUAGUUUAUUUUGAAUAUUUCACUUACAAUGAAAAGGUUUAUAAAGUUUU